rnacentral:misc_RNA from 1 species
ACUUUGAUAGAUUCAUUAAGGAGGCCAUCCUUAAAGAGAACACUCAGUAACAAGUUUCAACCGCUAGUUUUAAUUAAGUUCAAAACGUGUUUGUGAGUUUGGGAGUUAGUUUGUACUGUAUUCCACUAAAUUGUAUUGAAUAAUCGAUUAAUCUCAAAUGCAAUAAGAUUAAUCAUUGAGUUAUUAAUCAAGUGAUUGUUUAAUUAGGAUUUAAUUCCUAUAUAUUAGUCUUUUCUGCAGAAUUCGUGGCUGUUUUUUUAAUUCUGUUUUCAAAUAAAAAAAU